rnacentral:rRNA from 1 species
UACGGAGGAUCCGAGCGUUAUCCGGAUUUAUUGGGUUUAAAGGGAGCGUAGGCGGGUUGUUAAGUCAGUUGUGAAAGUUUGCGGCUCAACCGUAAAAUUGCAGUUGAUACUGGCAUCCUUGAGUACAGUAGAGGUAGGCGGAAUUCGUGGUGUAGCGGUGAAAUGCUUAGAUAUCACGAAGAACUCCGAUUGCGAAGGCAGCCUGCUGGACUGUAACUGACGCUGAUGCUCGAAAGUGUGGGUAUCGAACAGG